GCGGCAGGGGCGGAGAUCGGGGGAAGGUAGGGGUGUGUGUGUGUGUGUGUGUGUGUGUGUGUGAGAGAGAGAGAGAGAGAGAGAGAGACAGACAGACAGACAGACGGACACUGAGACAGACUCGUCUGGAGUGAGCGCACAGGGUCUUGAGCAAGUACAGGUUAGAAGGAUCUCUGUGAGAGUGCCCUGUCAGGGACAUUGUGGUCUGUUAGUGUCAAUGUGCAGAGUGUGUGGUGGUGAUUGUAUGGUUGUGUCCCUGUGUGGUUGUGCGGACAGUGCAGGUGUGUGCCUGUGUG